rnacentral:rRNA from 1 species
UACGAAGGGGGCUAGCGUUGUUCGGAAUUACUGGGCGUAAAGCGCACUAGGCGGAUAUUUAAGUCAGGGGUGAAAUCCCAGAGCUCAACUCUGGAACUGCCUUUGAUACUGGGUAUCUUGAGUAUGGAAGAGGUAAGUGGAAUUGCGAGUGUAGAGGUGAAAUUCGUAGAUAUUCGCAGGAACACCAGUGGCGAAGGCGGCAUCCUGGACCGACACUGACGCUGAGGAGCGAAAGCCAGGG